CACCUGAAAUUCAAAGAACUGUGUGGUUUAGGUGUAC
rnacentral:sRNA from 1 species